GGUUGAUAUUGUGUUCAUUUUCUUCUCCAUCGCAGUUUUUAGGGGAAUUCAUGCUGCAGCUGAUGCCUAUGGCUCAAUAGAAGAUCCAACCAAUUCAGUACAAGGGUGAGGGUCCAAGCAGAGUAUCUCCCACCCAGGACCGGAAAUGAAGUGCAGGAUGACACGAAGAAGUACAAGUCCUUGGUCCCUCACGCAGGGUCCGAAGAUUCUACGCUUUUACCUGGGUCAUCAAAAAUCAGACGGCACUGCAAGGUCCAGAUGUUGUGUAUCAGGGAGCAAAACAGAACGUUCAAUGGCUCAGGGCCGAGGCAUUAUGGAACCUGGCUCAGCGUAUUCACCGAGCUACGGCAGCAAAUCCUGGUGUAAGACACGAUCCCAGCCAGGUUGCAUUUACCUAGUAGAUGCCUUCUACAAGACUGACUUGUGGCUUCCUGAAACUCUGGGGUCGCAUUUACAUGUCCAGGUAAAUGAGAGCGAAUAGAUGAGGAAAUCCAUUUGAGGUGACUUUUCAGGUGGGAAAUUUGAGUGAAACCGGUGCCUUCUAAAAUGUAUUACUUUAGGAAAGAAGAAACAAACAUUACAGAAAUGUAAAAAGAAACAGCACCUAAGGGCGAGUUCUGAAAGUGGCUAGGAGGUUCUACCAGAUUUGAUUUUCUUACAGUUGCUCAACUCUCUACCCCCUCUAACACUCGCCCAUUCUUUUGCUUUCUCUGUUGUCUGCAGUUAUCCCCAAACCCCCGGGGUUUUCUCCGCAACCUGCAGACAUUUAUAGUCUAGCUUAUCCCCAAAUCAAUCUUCACUUCCCCCA
rnacentral:lncRNA from 1 species